UCAUACACUUCCCAUCAUAGGAUUAACAAAAAUUCAAAUAAUUUUCAGUAAAAAUAAAAAAAUAUCGAUAUAACAAGUAAAAAAAUUAUGGUCUUUGGAGAGAAUAGGUGUAAGAUAUACACCAUACUUUGGGCUAUAAUUAACUAUAUAUUCUUUAUCCAACUCCUAAUUAUAAUUAUGUAGAAAUUCCUCUAAAAUGAUCAAUAUUAAAAAUAUCUUUCUAAUUUAAUAUAUAUAUAUAUAAAAUAUUCAUAUUUAUAAUAAUCAAUCUAAAAAUUAAACGAAAUUUUUAUUUUGGUCAUUAUUCAUCACCAAUGCAGUUUUAAUCAACUUAAAGAUUUUUUGGGUGAAAAUAUUAUAGAAUGCAGUCGAAUGUACACCAU
rnacentral:lncRNA from 1 species